rnacentral:tRNA from 1 species
GCAGUGGUGGUUCAGUGGUAGAAUCCUCACCUUCCACGGAGAGACAGGGGUUCGAUUCCCAGCCAAUGCA